rnacentral:rRNA from 6 species
CCCCAUGCCGAACUCAGAAGUGAAACGCCGUAGCGCCGAUGGUAGUGUGGGGUCUCCCCAUGCGAGAGUAGGGAACUGCCAGGC